AGAUCAGCCAUGAUCUUAUAGAAUGGGGAGAUCCCCCCGCCACGUGUACCAUGUAAUCCCGUGCUACCUGCUCCAUGGUCAGACAGUUGGUGACUAAACCGUCUCCCCCACUUGGUUUGCCAGGUGAGGAGGGGGCUGUGGACC